UGCUGGCUUCGGCAGCACACACACUAAAAUGGAGUGAUGCUGAGAAGAUUAGCACGGCCCCUGAGCAGGGACAGUGUGCAAACUCGUGAAGCAUUCCGUAUUUAA